rnacentral:lncRNA from 1 species
GGAUUAGUAGCUAUGUUUCAUAUUUUAGAUUUUUACUUUACCUUUUAUUUUGUUUAUGAUGAUAUUGAAUGAGCCAUUCGCUAUGAUAUAUUUAGUGACAAAAUUCAUAAGAAAAUAUCAUUGUGAUUUGGUUUUAAGCCAUGGAUAUAAGGGAAGUCUGAGCACCCAUAGCAUCAAAGCUAUAAAUACAGGAGAAGUCUGAGAAACCGUAGAACUUUGGAUAUGGGAUCGCACUUACACCUAUGGAAAAGUUUGAGUAGCCAUAUGGUUUUCUCGUAUGAAAUCCUAAAUGUGAGAAGUCGGCUUGGUUUUGUUCCAUAAAAAGGAAAUUGUGCGUGGUACAAAUCAAAGAAAAUAACCCCUCCAUUAAUUUUUUUUUAAAAUCAAGGGCACGAACGUGAUCGGCCUUGUAAUAAUGCUUCAUCUAUUUUUGUCACUCCAAAUCUUUGGCUUGUAGAAAUUGGUAGAUACGCCAUUUUGUAUGUAGAAGGAAGGGAAAUUGAAUCCCUUUGAGGAGUUUGCAUACCUUGUGCAGCAAGCAAUUGUGUCUAAAUAUCAUGUAUACUUGUACAAUUUACAAGAUGCCCCAUUAGUCUCUCAAGGAUAAUUUUGAUAAUGCUUGAUUGAUGAAAUGAUCUUAGCUAUCUUUGUGAAUAUAAGAACCUACUUUAGCCUAAAUAGCCGACCCAUGCAUAAAAUUGGACCCUUAGUUACCCAAUUUGAUCCUUCAAGCCUUUCUUUGGAAACCACAUUACAAUCCUUGAUCCAUUCAAAGUUUUUUUUAUCUCUUUUUAACCCUACCUUGCUUGAACUUAAAAAAUAGGUUAAAAUUGAGGCUAUAUUCCUAUGUUGGGGGUGGUAAUUUUGGAAGAGAUAACCUUGGGCCAAUGUAAUUGCAAGUGGAUUCCUAAAAGCUAAGAAUGAAAAAGUUAAAAAGAAAGGAAUGGUGAAAAGAAGGAUGAAGAAUAAAUUUCAAAAGAAAUAAGCGAAUGAAAGUUGCCUUAAAA